UUAUCCAAUAGACUGUAAAUGGUUGCUCUACUUGACCUGUGUCGAUUUCUUUUAAACGGUCAUAUUAUUAAUAUCUUCUGGUUUUCCAUUUUGCAGCUCUUCUGGUGGUUUGUACUCUCUUCCUGCUGUCUUCUUUCACACUGGAAGCUUCGAUAAGCUUUUUGCAAUCCCUGAGCAUAUUUUAUGGUUUCGUAUCUACAGGCUUAUCUGGAGGAUUUGUUGCUGGCAUAUCUAUAGCAGCAGUUGCUGUGGCGGUGUUGUUGGGCGUUUGUGUAUAUGUUAGGUUCUACAGGAAGAAGAAGGAGAAAGAGACGGUACUACUGCCGGCAGUAUCACUAGGCUACUCUCCUCGAGGCAAGUUCG
rnacentral:lncRNA from 1 species